CACGGGUGAGUAACACGUAUGCAACCUGGCUGUAAGAGGGGAAUAACCCGAGAAAUCCGGACUAAUACCGCAUAAUACUUAGAAUCCGCAUGGAUUUUUAAGUUAAACAUUUAUGGCUUACAGAUGGGCAUGCGUAUGAUUAGCUGGUUGGAGAGGUAACGGCUCCCCAAGGCAACGAUCAUUAGGGGUUCUGAGAGGAAGGUCCCCCACACUGGUACUGAGACACGGACCAGACUCCUACGGGAGGCAGCAGUGAGGAAUAUUGGUCAAUGGACGCAAGUCUGAACCAGACCCAAGUCGCGUGAAGGAAGAAUGUCCUAUGGAUUGUAAACUUCUUUUGAAGGGGAAUAAAGUACGGUACGUGUACCGUUUUGUAUGUACCCUUCGAAUAAGGAUCGGCUAACUCCGUGCCAGCCGCAGC
rnacentral:rRNA from 1 species